UGAGCACAGCCAUCAGAGGGAAGGUCUGGGGUGACUCAGCUGGAAUUCCUCUGAGGAGGUUUAUCACUGGUGGGCCAGUGACAACUGCAGCUACCUCCUGUUGGAUUGUUAACAACAGAAAAUAGAAGAGCAGGAAAAAGACAAGACAAGAGGUGGGAAGGAUUGGAUAAAAUCUCUCCUGGCCUCGUGCAGGCUCUGGCAAGGGGCAGCUCUCUGCACCUGCACACCCAGCUCGCAGCACAGGAGUCACGGGGAGAGCAGAGCAGAGCUUCCUGCUGAUCAUCUCCAGCGUGCCAGGGGACGUGGGAGCGUCAUUCAAAUUCGGAAGGUUGAUGAGUGGAACAGAGAAGGAAACACCACGCAGUCCGGCACUGAACGCUCAGCUUUAGGAGCAGCUGCAGCUCAAAUGGCCUGAAUUUGCUGUAUAACCUUCAUCUUGCUGGGAAAAAGCCAUUUCCAAAGCCAUCCACCUUGUGCCAGCUGUCACUCACAAGGUGCUGCUUGUUCCCAAAUGCCUGUCACCUUCCCUGACACCAGGGGUGAGCUUUGUCCAGGCAGAGAUGGGCAGAUCCCGUGGAUUAUCCCACACCUUGGCUCUGUCUCUGCUCUGGCAGCCAGUGUUUCAUGGGCAGGAGUCUUCCCAUGCCCAGGACACCAGAGCUCUCUCCUUCCAGGAAAGGGGCCAUGAAUUAAUUCAACAAUCCCAGCCCUUCUCAGCAGACCCAGCAGAGAAGGCAGCUGAGCAAUGAGCAGCUCCAUUCCUGUUCACAAGCCUUUUCCAAAGGGCUCAUGAAUAAAAAGCACCAUCAGUCUCAAAGCAAAGCAUCUUCUCAGUGCA